rnacentral:rRNA from 1 species
UACGUAGGGCGCAAGCGUUGUCCGGAAUUAUUGGGCGUAAAGAGCUCGUAGGCGGCCUGUUGCGUCCGCUGUGAAAUCCCGGGGCUUAACCCCGGGCGUGCAGUGGAUACGGGCAGGCUGGAGGCAGGCAGGGGAGAACGGAAUUCCCGGUGUAGCGGUGAAAUGCGCAGAUAUCAGGAGGAACACCGAUGGCGAAGGCAGGUCUCUGGGCAUUAACUGACGCUGAGGAGCGAAAGCGUGGGGAGCGAACAGG